UCGGGAAUUUUGGGCAAUGGGCGAAAGCCUGACCCAGCAACGCCGCGUGAGGGAUGAAGUAUUUCGGUAUGUAAACCUCGAAAGAAUGGGAAGAAUAAAUGACGGUACCAUUUAUAAGCUCCGGCUAACUACGUGCCAGCAGCCGCGGUAAUACGUAGGGAGCAAGCGUUGUUCGGAUUUACUGAGCGUAAAGGGCGCGUAGGCGGCGCGGUAAGUCACUUGUGAAAUCUCUGAGCUUAACUCAGAACGGCCAAGUGAUACUGCUGUGCUAGAGUGCGGAAGAGGCAACCGGAAUUCUUGGUGUAGCGGUGAAAUGCGUAGAUAUCAAGAGGAACACCUGAGGCGAAGGCGGGUUGCUGGGCCGACACUGACGCUGAUGCGCGAAAGCCAGGGGAGCAAACG
rnacentral:rRNA from 1 species